rnacentral:misc_RNA from 1 species
AAAUGUUAAGCUUGUUCCUAGACAGGAGGAGCCAUUGGAAGAUCCUGGCAGAUAUUGGAGGCUGGUUGAUAAACUGAAUUAUUUGACAAUAACAUGUCCAGAUAUUUCAUUUGUUGUCAAUGUGGUAAGUUAGUUUAUCCAACCCCUCAUGUAGUGAUCACUAGGAUGCAAUAUUCGCAUCCUAAGGUAUAUUAAAGGAUUUCCUGGGCAAGGUCUGUUAUAUGAAGACAAGGUUCAUUCAUAAGUUGUUGGGUACUUUGAUGCAAAUUAGGCAGGUUCUCCUGUAGAUAGGCGAUCUACUUCAGGAUAUUGUGUUAUGAUUGAAGGGAAUCUAAUAUCCUAAAAGAGUAAAAAGCUGGAUGUCGUAGCUAGAUCAAGUGCAAAAGCAGAAUACAGAGUUAUGGCUCUAGCAACUUGUGAGCUUAUUUGGUUAAAACAACUUCUUCAAGAAUUAAAGUGUGGGGAAGUUAAACAAAUGAAGCUAAUAUAUGACAAUCAAGCUGCUUUUCAUAUUGCCUCAAAUCCAGUUUGUUAUGAAAGAACAAAACACAUAGAGAUGGAUUGUCACUUUAUUAGACAGAAGAUCGAAUUAGGGUAUAUUGUCACUAGUUUUGUUAAUUCAAGUGACCAGUUAGCAAAUGUUUUCACUAAGUCCCUUAAAGGGUCUCGGGUUGAAUAUAUUUGUAACAAGUUUGGAGCACAUAACAUGUAUGCUCCAACUUG